UUUUCCUUUAGAAAUGGCCGAUGCUGCCGCAGUCUCCUUUUCUGUUUCACCGGUGGUGUGUUGUACCUGAGUCCGCAGUUCUUCAGUAGAAAGCUAUCAAAAGUGAGAUACCUUCCUCCAGAUAAUGGCCUUCCAAAAAACACUUGUCGUCCUGGUGUUUCUCCUGCUGCUUGUUAACACUGAGUUUUCCAAAGCCCAAAUGUCCAGUCGUCAUGAAACCAGAUUAAACAGUAAUGCAGAGGGAAUUUCUUCACAGGAAAAUAUGAGCGAAAGUCUGAGAAGCAGAUUCCGA